CCUACGGGAGGCUGCAGUAGGGAAUAUUGCUCAAUGGGGGAAACCCUGAAGCAGCAACGCCGCGUGGAGGAUGAAGGUUUUCGGAUUGUAAACUCCGUGUGUUAGAGAAGAGAAGGACGGUAGCUAACGAAUAAGCACCGGCUAACGCCGUGCCAGCAGCCGCGGUAAUCCGGAGGGUGCAAGCGUUACUCGGAAUCACUGGGCGUAAAGAGCGCGUAGGCGGGAUAGCAAGUCAGAUGUGAAAUCCUAUGGCUUAACCAUAGAACUGCAUUUGAAACUGUUAUUCUAGAGUAUGGGAGAGGUAGGUGGAAUUCUUGGUGUAGUGGUCAACUCCGUAGAGAUCACGCGGACUACUCAUUGCGACGGCGACCUGCUAGAACCUACCUGACGCUGAUGCGC
rnacentral:rRNA from 1 species